rnacentral:rRNA from 1 species
GACGAACGCUGGCGGCGUGCUUAACACAUGCAAGUCGAACGAAGCGGCGGACGGGUGAGUAAUGCCUCGGAAUCUGCCUGGUAGUGGGGGAUAACGUCCGGCAACGGGCGCUAAUACCGCAUACUAUCAGAUGAGCCUAGGUCGGAGUAGCUAGUUGGUGGGGUAAAGGCCUACCAAGGCGACGAUCCGUAACUGGUCUGAGAGGAUGAUCAGUCACACUGGAACGGAGACACGGGACAGAGUCCGACGGGAGGCAGCAGUGGGGAAGAUUGGACAAUGGGCGAAAGCCUGAUACAGCCAGGACGCGUGUGUGAAGAAGGGCGUCGGAUUGUAAAGCACUGUAAGUUGGGAGGCGUUACCAACAGAAGAAGCACCGGCUAACUUCGUGCCAGCAGCCGCGGUAAUAC